rnacentral:pre_miRNA from 1 species
UUUCUACUCCCUCCGUCCGAAAAAACUUGUCAUCAAAAUGGAUAAAAAGAGAUGUAUCUAAAACUAAAAUACGUCUAGAUACAUUUCCUUUUAUCCAUUUUGAUGAAAAGUAUUUCCGGACGGAGGGAGUAUUUG